rnacentral:rRNA from 1 species
CCAGACUCCUACGGGAGGCAGCAGUGAGGAAUAUUGGUCAAUGGCCGGAAGGCUGAACCAGCCAAGCCGCGUGAAGGACGAAGGUGCCAAGCAUUGUAAACUUCUUUUGUCAAGGGACAAAAUCAGGCUCGAGAGCCUGACCGAGGGUACUUGAAGAAAAAGCAUCGGCUAACUCCGUGCCAGCAGCCGCGGUAAUACGUAGGGAGCAAGCGUUGUCCGGAUUUACUGGGUGUAAAGGGUGCGUAGGCGGCCCUGCAAGUCAGAAGUGAAAUCCAUGGGCUUAACCCGUGAACUGCUUUUGAAACUGUAGGGCUUGAGUGAAGUAGAGGCAGGCGGAAUUCCCGGUGUAGCGGUGAAAUGCGUAGAGAUCGGGAGGAACACCAGUGGCGAAGGCGGCCUGCUGGGCUUUAACUGACGCUGAAGCACGAAAGCGUGGGUAGCAAACAGGAUUAGAUACCCCCGUA